rnacentral:rRNA from 1 species
GAUGAACGCUGGCGGCGUGCCUAAUACAUGCGAGUCGAGCGAACGGACGAGAAGCUUGCUUCUCUGAUGUUAGCGGCGGACGGGUGAGUAACACGUAGAUAACCUACCUAUAAGACUGGGAUAACUUCGGGAAACCGGAGCUAAUACCGGAUAAUAUUUUGAACCGCAUGGUUCAAAAGUGAAAGACGGUCUUGCUGUCACUUAUAGAUGGAUCCGCGCUGCAUUAGCUAGUUGGUAAGGUAACGGCUUACCAAGGCAACGAUGCAUAGCCGACCUGAGAGGGUGAUCGGCCACACUGGAACUGGGACACGGUCCAGACUCCUACGGGAGGCAGCAGUAGGGAAUCUUCCGCAAUGGGCGAAAGCCUGACGGAGCAACGCCGCGUGAGUGAUGAAGGUCUUCGGAUCGUAAAACUCUGUUAUUAGGGAAGAACAUAUGUGUAAGUAACUGUGCACAUCUUGACGGUACCUAAUCAGAAAGCCACGGCUAACUACGUG